rnacentral:rRNA from 1 species
CAAGCGGUGGAUGAUGUGGAUUAAUUCGAUGCAACGCGAAAAACCUUACCUACCCUUGACAUGGUCGGAAUCCUGAAGAGAUUCGGGAGUGCUCGAAAGAGAACCGGCGCACAGGUGCUGCAUGGCUGUCGUCAGCUCGUGUCGUGAGAUGUUGGGUUAAGUCCCGCAACGAGCGCAACCCUUGUCCUUAGUUGCUACGCAAGAGCACUCUAAGGAGACUGCCGGUGACAAACCGGAGGAAGGUGGGGAUGACGUCAAGUCCUCAUGGCCCUUAUGGGUAGGGCUUCACACGUCAUACAAUGGUCGGAACAGAGGGUUGCCAACCCGCGAGGGGGAGCUAAUCCCAGAAAACCGAUCGUAGUCCGGAUUGCACUCUGCAACUCGAGUGCAUGAAGCUGGAAUCGCUAGUAAUCGCGGAUCCCAGCAGCCGCGGUAAUACGUUCCCGGGUCUUGUACACACCGCCCGUCACACCAUGGGAGUGGGUUUUACCAGAAGUGGCUAGUCUAACCGCAAGGAGGACGGUC